rnacentral:rRNA from 1 species
GGCUCAGAACGAACGCUGGCGGCGUGCUUAACACAUGCAAGUCGAACGCGAAAGGGACUUCGGUCCUGAGUAAAGUGGCGCACGGGUGAGUAACGCGUAGAUAACCUGUCUUUAUGUCUGGAAUAAUACGCCGAAAGGGGUACUAAUACCGGAUAUUUUUGCAUUGCAUAAGCAGUGUAAGCAAAGGUGGCCUCUGACAUAAGCUACUGCAUAAAGAGGGGUCUGCGUACCAUUAGCUAGUAGGUGGGGUAAAGGCCUACCUAGGCUACGAUGGUUAGCGGGUCUGAGAGGAUGAUCCGCCACACUGGCACUGGAACACGGGCCAGACUCCUACGGGAGGCAGCAGUGAGGAAUAUUGCGCAAUGGGGGCAACCCUGACGCAGCGACGCCGCGUGAGUGAGGAAGGCCUUCGGGUCGUAAAGCUCUGUCAAAGGGAAAGAAGUGCAUGGUGGUUAAUACCUGCCAUGUUUGACGGUACCCUUAAAGGAAGCACCGGCUAACUCCGUGCCAGCCGCAGC